UGUUAAGUGGAAAAGGAUGUGGCGUUGCCCAGACAACUAGGAUGUUGGCUUAGAAGCAGCCAUCAUUUAAAGAGUGCGUAAUAGCUCACUAGUCGAGUGACACUGCGCCGAAAAUGUACCGGGGCUAAACAUAUUACCGCAGCUGUGGAUUGUCCGUAGGACAAUGGUAGGAGAGCGUUCUAAGGGCGUCGAAGCAUGAUCGCAAGGACAUGUGGAGCGCUUAGAAGUGAGAAUGCCGGUGUGAGUAGCGAAAGACGGGUGAGAAUCCCGUCCACCGAUUGACUAAGGUUUCCAGAGGAAGGCUCGUCCGCUCUGGGUUAGUCGGGUCCUAAGCUGAGGCCGACAGGCGUAGGCGAUGGAUAACAGGUUGAUAUUCCUGUACCACCUAUAAUCGUUUUAAUCGAUGGGGGGACGCAGUAGGAUAGGCGAAGCGUGCGAUUGGAUUGCACGUCUAAGCAGUAAGGCUGAGUAUUAGGCAAAUCCGGUACUCGUUAAGGCUGAGCUGUGAUGGGGAGAAGACAUUGUGUCUUCGAGUCGUUGAUUUCACACUGCCGAGAAAAGCCUCUAGAUAGAAAAUAGGUGCCCGUACCGCAAACCGACACAGGUAGUCAAGAUGAGAAUUCUAAGGUGAGCGAGCGAACUCUCGUUAAGGAACUCGGCAAAAUGACCCCGUAACUUCGGGAGAAGGGGUGCUCUUUAGGGUUAACGCCCAGAAGAGCCGCAGUGAAUAGGCCCAAGCGACUGUUUAUCAAAAACACAGGUCUCUGCUAAACCGUAAGGUGAUGUAUAGGGGCUGACGCCUGCCCGGUGCUGGAAGGUUAAGAGGAGUGGUUAGCUUCUGCGAAGCUACGAAUCGAAGCCCCAGUAAACGGCGGCCGUAACUAUAACGGUCCUAAGGUAGCGAAAUUCCUUGUCGGGUAAGUUCCGACCCGCACGAAAGGCGUAACGAUUUGGGCACUGUCUCAACGAGAGACUCGGUGAAAUCAUAGUACCUGUGAAGAUGCAGGUUACCCGCGACAGGACGGAAAGACCCCGUGGAGCUUUACUGUAGCCUGAUAUUGAAAUUCGGCACAGCUUGUACAGGAUAGGUAGGAGCCUUUGAAACGUGAGCGCUAGCUUACGUGGAGGCGCUGGUGGGAUACUACCCUAGCUGUGUUGGCUUUCUAACCCGCACCACUUAUCGUGGUGGGAGACAGUGUCAGGCGGGCAGUUUGACUGGGGCGGUCGCCUCCUAAAAGGUAACGGAGGCGCUCAAAGGUUCCCUCAGAAUGGUUGGAAAUCAUUCAUAGAGUGUAAAGGCAUAAGGGAGCUUGACUGCGAGACCUACAAGUCGAGCAGGGUCGAAAGACGGACUUAGUGAUCCGGUGGUUCCGCAUGGAAGGGCCAUCGCUCAACGGAUAAAAGCUACCCCGGGGAUAACAGGCUUAUCUCCCCCAAGAGUUCACAUCGACGGGGAGGUUUGGCACCUCGAUGUCGGCUCAUCGCAUCCUGGGGCUGUAGUCGGUCCCAAGGGUUGGGCUGU
rnacentral:rRNA from 1 species